UACGGAGGAUCCGAGCGUUAUCCGGAUUUAUUGGGUUUAAAGGGUGCGCAGGCGGGAUGUUAAGUCGGCGGUGAAAUUUUGCAGCUCAACUGUAAAAGUGCCUUCGAUACUGGCUUCCUUGAGUGUGGAUGAAGUAGGCGGAAUUUGUGGUGUAGCGGUGAAAUGCUUAGAUAUCACGAGGAACUCCGAUUGCGCAGGCAGCUUACUAAACCACUACUGACGCUCAUGCACGAAGGCGUGGGGAUCAAACAGGAUUAGAUACCCU
rnacentral:rRNA from 1 species